rnacentral:tRNA from 1 species
GAGCCAUAAUCUAAAGGCUCGAAGAGACGAUCUGCAACAUCGUUGUUAGUGAGUUGAAGUCUCACAUGGUUCU